rnacentral:lncRNA from 1 species
UCAGCGGGAAAAACUCACAAUUUCAAAUAUAACACUCCCAAAAUCCGGUGUCACUGAGUACAUGAGCAUCUAAUAUGAAUACAAAGUCUGACGGAUAAAAAUCACUGUUUGAAAAUAUAGAACAGUACACUAAUUAAACAGAAAAAGAAUCGAGUCUGCGGACGUCAAACAACUACCUUGAUAUUUCCCAUAGAAUUAACUUCGAAAUCUAGCAGCCGCCGUAUCUGGAAGCACCUGGAUCUGCACACAAUGUGCAGAUUGUAGUAUGAGUACAACUAACUCAAUAAGUAACAAGACUAACCUCUGGGCUGAAAGAAAUGACGAGUUCCGCAGGUACAUUCCACUAUAAAUAAUGGUACAAAAAUGUAGGCAUGCUUUCAAGUUCAACAGUUAAACUCAGUACAAGGAAAAUAGAUCAAUACUGUAUGAUAUGAGAAAUACGACAUAUCAGUUGAAAUACCUCAAGUAAAUACUGGUCACUAAUUAUUCGAUCACUCGGUACUGUUUAUGGCCAAUCCAGCCCAGGGGUGUUCCAACCCGUAUGUAAAUACACAUCGACUGACAGUCAGACACUCAGUACCGUAUAAGGCCAAUCCAUCCCUGGGGUAAAUAACCCCAAAUAUAAAUGAUACGGACAAGAUCCAUGUCCAGGUAAAUUAAUUACAAUAUAAAUAAGGCAAGUCCAUGCCCUGGUAAAUCCAUCCCGAAUAUAUAUAAUCAUCUACGCUCAAUGGGGUGUGUACAGACUACGGAGGGGCUCCUUCAGCCCAAGCGUGAUAUAAAACCUUUAUGGCUUACUGCAGGCGGGCAGUCCCGAUCCGUAUAAUAAUAAAGCCUAUAAAGCCUGCUGCAGGCGGACAAUCCCGAUCCAAAAAAUAGUAAAGCCUAUAAGGCCUGCUACAGGAGGGCAGCCCCGAUCCAUAUAAUAAUAAUAAUGUAUAAAGCUAUUAUGGCCUGCUGCAGGCGGGCAACCCCGAUCCAGAAUAAUAAUAAUAAUAAUAAUAAUAAUAUAUAUAAAAGCCAAUAUGGCCUGCCGCGAUGCGCAACUCGAUCCCAUAAUUAUCCUCACAAUGGACAAAUAUGACUAAGUAUGAAAUGUAUAUUUUCUAAAUAAUUAAUUCAAUGGCAACACGAUUCUAUGGGUCCUAAAAUAUCGGCACAUAGCCUAAACAUGAUCUUUAUUACGAGCCUCAGCUCAAUUCCUCUAACAUGUGUCACAUGUUCAGAUAAUAACAUUAUCUUUUAAUUUUACAACUUCACAAGAUUUAUUCAAGACACAUUUUUUGUGGCACACGUCUACAUGCUCGUCACCUAUCGUGUGUGUUACCUCCAAAUAAUUUAUAUCAUACCAAAUUUCGAGGAUUCAUAGCCUCAGAACCAAGUUUAGAAGUGUUACUUGCCUCAAACCGUGUAAUUCUUUACUUCGAUAUGCCUUUGCCUCGUGAAUUGUCCUCCAAACGCCUCGAAUCUAGCCACUAUUAAUUCAAUUCAGUUAAUAAAAUUUAUUGGAAUUAAUCCCAUAAGAAAAUAAAAAUAUUCCAACAAAAUUCGAAAUUUAGCUCAAAAAUCGCAUGUGGGGCCCAUAUCUCAGAAUCUGACAAAAAUUACAAAAUCCAAAAGUCCAUUCAAUCACGAGUCUAACCAUACUAAUUUUAUCAAAAUCCGACUUCAACUCGACCUCCAAACCCUCAAAUCUUAUUUUCAAAUCCCUAGAUUCAAAUCCCCGAUUUACACUUAAAAAACACGUAAUAUAGUCGGAUUAUUCGUUGAUAUUUCAAUAUUAUGAAGAAGAAAUGAUCACAAGUGACUUACCUCAAUAUUUCCCGUGAUUUCUCGCUCAAACAUCGCCUCAACCCCCGUUGGAAAUGUUAGAAAUGACAAAAAAUCUCGGACUCCUCUGUUUUUAACAUUCAGCCCAGGAUUUUCGCACCUGGACCCCCUAACCACACCUGCGGAAUCGCUUAUGCGGUGAAAUUUCCGCUUCUGAGGAAGCCACUUGGUUUCCCAAAUGCCGUACCUGCGCUCCAUCUCCCGCACCUGCGGAGCCGCACCAGCGCUCCUUCGCUCGCGCGUGCAUGAGCCGAUUCUGCGCAACAUGAGCCGCUUCUUCGGCAUCACACCUGCGGCCAAUUUCACGCAGGUGCGAUCACACCAGAAGACAGAAAAUUUCCAGAUUUUAUCUAAUUCCGAAUUUGAUCCGUUAACCAUCCGAAACUCCCCCGAGACCCUCGGGACCUUAACCAAAUACACCAACAAAUCCUAAAACAUCAUACAAACUUAAUCGAGUUUUCAAAUCACACCCAACAACACUAAAAAUACGUAUCACACAUAGAUUCAAGCCUAAUGAACUUUGAAACUUCCAAUUUCUAUAAACGACGCCGGAACCUAUCAAAUCACGUCCGAUUAACCUCAAAUUUUGCACACAAGUCAUAAAUGACAUAACGAAGCUAUGAAAAUUUUCAGAACUGGAUUCCGACCCCGAUAACAAAAAGUCAACUCCCCGAUUUAAUUUCUCUAAAAUUCAAUUUUCGCCAUUUCAAACCAAAUUCUACUACGGACUUUCAAAUAAUUUUCCGAACACGCUCCUAAGUCCAAAAUUACCAUACGGAGCUAUUGAAAUCAUAAAAACUCUAUUCCGGGGUCGUUUACACAUAAGUAGACAUUCAGUCACUAUCUUAACUUAAGCUUUAAACCUUGGAACUAAAUAUUCCAAUUCAUUCCAAAACCUUACCGGACCUGAACCAAUUAACCUAGUAAGUCAUAAAAUAACUGUAAAGCAUAAAUUGAGCAGUAAAUGGGGUAGUGGGAUAUAAUACUCAAAACGACAGGCCGGAUCCUUACAACCAAUCUUUGCUUCUUCAGCUAAAUGGAUGACUAGAUGUUCCAUGAUAUCAAAAAAAGAUGAAGGAAAUAUUCUAUGAUGAUCCAAAAUGUCAUCUUUAAAUUCAAUAAUUAAUUCUAUGUUCUAAGACCUAGAAAAGCACUAUUUAUUAUUCCUCGACUUGCGUGCGAUGUCCGUAAAAUUUUCCGAAAAGUUUUCAGGUAAAAAAUAUAUUAAAAUGUGAAUUAGAGCUUUAAAACUAAUUGAGUUGACUUUGGUCACAUUUUGAGAAAACGGACUCGGAUCAAUAUUUUAACAGUUCUGGUAGGUCCGUAUCGUGAUUUGGGACUUAGACGUAUGUCCAGAAUCAAAUUCCGAGGUCCUUAGCCCGAGAUAUGGAAUUUUGAUAAAAAAUUAAAAGUUUAAGUUCAAAUAGUGACCGAAUGUCAAAUUAUGUGCAAACGACCCAGAAAUAGAAUUUUGAUGAUUCUAACAACUCCGUAUGGUGAUUUUGGACUUAGGAGCAUGAUCGGAAUUUUAUUUAGAAGUCCGUAGUGGAAUUAGGCUUGAAAUGCCAAAAGUUGAAUUUUUGGAAAGUUUGACCGGGGGUUGACUUUUGAUAUCGAGGUCGGAAUCCGAUUUUGGAAAUUGGAAUACGUCUGUUAUGUUAUUUAUGACUUGUGUGCAAAAUUUGAAGUCAUUCCGAAUUGAUUUGAUGUGUUUCGGCACAAGAUAUAGAAUUUGAAAGUUCAAAGUUCAUAGAUUUUGAUUUGAGGUACGAUUCGUCGUUUUGAUGUUGUUUGAUGUGGUUUGAAACCUCGACUAAGUUCGUAUUGUAUUUUGGGACAUGUUGGAAUAAUUGAUUAAGGUCCCGAGGGUCUCGGGUGGAUUUCGAAAGGUAAACGGAAUGGAUUUCGGACAAAGAGGGUUGCUGGAAAUUUCUGUUGCAGAACUUUCGCCAGAAAUUUCUGUUGCAGAAAUUUCUCCAGAAAUUUCUGGUGCGUGAAGCCAACUUUGGAAACUUAUAUCUCGCAAUUCAUAAGGAAUCCUAAUAUUUUCAAAACAUGAAAGUUGUAUUCGUUUGAUUAUAGUUUCCAUAAAGUUACACCAUUUAUUAUUUGGACAUUCGUACAGAAAGUUAUGAUGGAUUGAAUGAAGGCCGGUAGAGCAGUUUCACCAGAAAUUUCUGAUGCAUGGAGCCGACUUUGGAAGCUUAUAUCUCGCAAUUCAUAAGGAAUCGAAAAUGUUUCAAAACAUGAAAGUUGUAGUCGUUUGAUUCUAGUUUCCAGAAAAUUAAACCAUUCAUCAUUUGGAUAUUUGUACAUAAAGUUAUGAUUGAUUGAAGGAAGGCUGGAACAAGCAAGUUCUGGUGGACAUUUAGUGACGAAAAAUGGACUUUUAGUGACGGAUGGGCAGAAACUUAAGGACCAAAAAUGGUAAUUUCCUUCAUUUCGUUUUGGAUUUUUGGAGCACGGUUCUUGCGCGAUUUUUGGGCGAUUUUUACGGAAAAAUAUUGGGGUAAGUGUUCCUUAUCCUAUAUUGAUUAUAUUUCAUGAUUCCAUACUCAUUUACAUCAUGAAUCAGUGAAUUUAUGGAAGAAAAAUCAAGAUUUUUGCAAAAUCUUUCAAAAACGAAAAUUUAAGAUUUGGAGGUCGAGUUGUUAUUGGAAUUUGAUAAAAUUGAUAUAGGUGGGCUCGUAAUUGAAUGGGUUGUCGGAUUUUGUAAGUUUCACCGGAUUUCGAGAUGUGGGCCCUACGGGCAAAUUUUGAGCUAAUUUCGGAUUUUAUUGAAAAAUGUAAUAUUUUCUUAUGAAAUUGAUUACUAUAAUUUUUGUUGACUCUAUCAAACUAAUUAUGACUAGAUACGAGUUGACCAGAGUCGGAAAAUCGAGAAAAAAGCAUAAUACUUGGUUAAAUUGGAGCAAGUCGAGGUAAGUGACUUGUCUAACCUUGUGUGGGGGAAAUUUCCCCUAUGAUUGAUAAUUAUAAUGUGUGAAAAGUCGUGUACACGAGGUGACAAGUGUGUACACGGGCUAAAUGUGAAAGAUUAUAUUUUAAAUUGUGUAGAUCACUGUUGCGCAUUAAUUAAAUUACUUCAUUUUGUUAUAUUCUUCAUUAUUGAUUUAAUGUUUAUAUUUUAAAUUUGCUUGACCUUUUCCUGCUAAUUAUUUUAUCUGUUUAGUUGGAACUUGGUUUCUUUUAUUCUGUGCAUUAGUUGAAGGUUGAUUUUCUUUAAAUUAAAUAUUAUUAAUAUGAAGUAUUUGACAUUUUUAAACUUGAUAUUAAAGCAACGUAUUAAAGAUUUUGAAAUAUUAUUUUCCUGAAUUAUUUACUCCUGGAUAUUUUUGUAAGAUUUCCGUACUCAUUGUGAUGGAGCAGUGAGCUCUUUAUUGUGAAAAAAUAUUAUUGUUGAAUUAUUUUGACAUGAGCCGUGAGCUCUUUAUUGUAAAAAAAUAUUAUUGUUGAAUUAUUUUUGACAUGAGUCGUAAGCUCUUUAUUGUGAAAAAAUAUUAUUGAUGAUUUAUUUUGGCAUGAGCCGUGAGCUCUUUAUUGUGAAAAAAUAUUGUUGUUGAAUUAUUUUCGCAAGUUAAAUUAUUUGAGCACUUGAGGUGCAAAUUGUGAUAUAUUGUGAUAUUGAUACGCAUGCGGUGGUAUAAGGUUUGUGUAUUGAAACGCAUGCGGCGAGAUAAGGGUGACUUUAUAUGCGUGGCUAGUAGGGGGAACUACUUGAAGUCAUGCGGUAUGAUAAGGAUGGCUAAAACGUGGGAUGCUAUUUUGGAAAAAAUAUUUUCUUUCAAAUAAAUUGUGAAGGCUCCCGCGAUGAGAUAAGAAAAUGAGAUAUUGUGAAUUUAUUUAUGAUUUGGGACUACGAAGCGGUACCUCGGGAGUGUCCUUGUUGAUAUUGAUUUAUGGCCGCAGUUGCCUUUGAUUAUUUGUUGUGAUUUUUCUUGAAGUUGAAAGGAAAUUUUGUUUUGUUUUCACGAGAUGUUAUUUGUCAUUAUUUUGUGUAAUUAAACGGUAACAUGCUACUUGAUUCAUUUCCAUCGUUAUUUUAUUUUAUUAUAUUGUUAAAUAUUUUACCAUGCCAAUUAUUAUUUUUCAGUAGGGCCUGACCUGACCUCGUUACUGCUCUACCGAGGUUAGGCUUGGCACUUACUGGGUACCGUUAUGGUGUCCUCAUACUACGCUUCUGUACAUCUUUUUGUGCAGAUCCAGGUACACCUUAUCAGACCAGGCAUCAGUAAACUAGCUGUACGAGGAGACUUCGAGGUAUAUCCGCCAGCGUCCGCAGACUCCGGAGUCCCCUUCUAUCUUACUAUGUUGUCUUCCUUAUUUGCUUUAGACUCUGAUGUAUAGAGACAUAUAGAAUAAAUUUUUAGAAGCUUGUGACUUAUUUCUACCGGAUUUUGGGAGUUGAAAUUGUUUUAAUUGUAGUUUAUUUAUUUCAGAUAUUUAUUAUUAUUUCGCAUUAAUAGGCUUACCUAGUCUUAGAGACUAGGUGCCAUCAUGACCUCCUACAGAGGGAAUUUGAGGUCGUGACACAUUCUCUCCAAAUGACAAAGAGUUAUUACAACUCGAUCUUGGAGCAUUUCUAAUUCACCUAUGUUCAUAACUGUUGAACAAAUGCCCAUAAUAAAAUUACUUAAUUCGAUCAUUGGCUUAAAAACAUUCAUUGGAAGGAGACCUCGCAAAGCAAUAGGAAGGAAUUGUUGCAUUAGCUCUUUUUUUAGGGUGCAAAGCCUUUCGAAUCUCCAUCUCUUGUAAAUCCAAACGAGAAUUCAGAUUGUCCUUUCCUUUCCCGUCAAUAUUUAGUAAUGUCCAGAAUAUAUUGUAAAAUAUAUUCUUUUCAAUAUGCAUUGUGUCAAGAUUAUGACGAAUUAUAUUGUCUUUCCAGUAGUCUAACUCAAAAACUAUGCUCUUUUUCAUCCAUAAAUAUUUGAACAUGGCAUCGUCAACAUGAUCAGAAUUCAUCCAUUUUCUUUUCUUGGAUUUGGUCGAUGGAUGUUUUCUGAAUUUAUUUUUAAUACCUUUCAAUUGCUUAAGAACUUCAAUUCCUGAUAAACAUUUAGGUGCUGCCUCUAACUCCUUAAAACCAUCAAACAGAACUUUAUCGUUUCGAAACUUGUGCCCAUGGGGUAACCAACGCCUAUGCGACAUGAAGCAAUAUUUUCGCCCAUAUUUAAAUCUCAAAAAUUUAGUCUUAGUCAGACAACAUGGUCAAGCAUAUCUAGUUUUCACACCAUACCCUGAUAAGUUACCUAGUGCUGAAAAAUCACUGACUGUCCAAAGCAAUGAAGCACGCAUUUGAAACAUAUGAUUCUUUGAUGCAUCAUAAUGUCAACACCAACCUACAAUUCUUUUAACUCAUCAAUUAACGGACGUAGAUAGACAUCAAUAUCAUUGCCUGGUGCAUGAAGGACAUCAAUAAUCAUUGAUAAUAUCAUGUAUAGUUGUUUCAUGCACAACCAUGGUGGCAAGUUAUAUGGAACCAAGAUAACUGACCAUGUGCUAUGUGAGAUAGACAUAGACUUGAAUGGAUUAAAUCCAUCUGAAGCCAAUCCAAGUCUAACAUUUCGAGGAUCUUAAGAAAAAUCUUGAUGUGAUUAAUCAAAUUUUCUCUAAGCAAUACUAUCAGCAGGAUGUCGCAUUACCCCGUUGAUGAAGAUGAUGUCUCACCAUGAAAAAUCUAAUUAACAUAACUAGGUAGAAAUCCAUCAACCACAUUAUGUUCAACAAUCAACUCUUUCGGGAUAAAUUUCAUAUUACGACACUUCCAACGUGGACACAAGAUUUCAGAUGCAUUAGGCCUAUCUAAUGAGGCAAAAUGAAGAAACUUUUUGGCUCUAUUCUCAUAUAGAGGAUCAUUCUUAUUCAAUAUGUUUAUCCAACAGUUAUCCAUUAAGAAUAACCUAUACAUAUAGCAAAAAAAUCAAUUAAAAGAGAGUAAUUAUAGAUAGAAACUAGAAAGAGUAUAUCGUAGAAUACGAAUAUAUAUUAUAAUUUAUACACUUUACUAAUGACUAUACAAAUGUGUUCAUUCAGAGCAUGGCAAAAAACAUAUCUAGUUUCUUUAUUUUUUUUUCCAAGUGAAUCUUACAAACUAGUUCACUCUAUCGCCACAAUAUUUAAUAUUUUAUCAUGACUAAGCAUAAUCAAACUGUAGAAUACCACAAUUGACAUCUUGAGUAAAUAAUCUAAUUGAACUCUAAGCAUAAUCUACCACUAAAUAAUGAAAAUAUUAUAUCCAACUUUAUAAAUGUACUAAACAACAAACACCCAAAAAUACACACAAAAAAAUCAAAAUCAAUCUACCAAUCAAUACCUAAAAGGGAAAAUUAUUAACUCAAAUCCAAACAAUUAAGAAAAAGAAAGAAAUUUGUUAACCAAAAUCCGAACAACUAAGAAAAAGAAAGAAAUCUGUUAACUAAAUUGGGUACCUUGAAUUUGUAGAAAAUAAGCUUCGUGAAUCUCAGUAGCAAAAGCCUCAGUGGCAAAAAAAAGCCUCAGCAAUUUUCGUCUUCAAGUAUCUAUUAUAGCACAAUGGAAUGCAAAAAAUUAGGUUUUUUUGUAGAAUUCUAACUAAGGAAGGAAAACUAUAUUUUUUAGAAUUGGGAGGAGGGAAGCAAAAUUCUUACUGCCAAAAUCUUUUCCUUCUAAAUCUCCUAUACUCUCCAUACAUUGCUCCUUUUGAGUCUUGGGGUGGAGGGAGCCGACUUGAGAAAUUUUGGCCAAACCCAAUUUGAGAUUUUGAGCCAAAAUUGAUUUUAGAUUGAGAGAAGAGAGCGGAUAGUUCCUUAGGUGCUUCUAAGGCUAGGAGCAUACGGCUAACCUAUGUUUCUCAAUUGUGGUCAUCAU